rnacentral:rRNA from 1 species
UGGGGGGUAUUGCACAAUGGGCGAAAGCCUGAUGCAGCGACGCCGCGUGGGGGAUGAAGGCUUUCGGGUUGUAAACCUCUUUCGCUAUCGAACAAGGCCCGCUUAGGGUGGGUUGAGGGUAGGUGGAGAAGAAGCGCCGGCUAACUACGUGCCAGCAGCCGCGGUAAUACGUAGGGCGCGAGCGUUGUCCGGAAUUAUUGGGCGUAAAGGGCUUGUAGGCGGCUUGUUGCGCCUGCUGUGAAAACGCGGGGCUUAACUUCGCGCGUGCAGUGGGUACGGGCAGGCUUGAGUGUGGUAGGGGUGACUGGAAUUCCAGGUGUAGCGGUGGAAUGCGCAGAUAUCUGGAGGAACACCGAUGGCGAAGGCAGGUCACUGGGCCAUUACUGACGCUGAGGAGCGAAAGCAUGGGUAGCGAACAGG